rnacentral:rRNA from 1 species
AGAACGAACGCUGGCGGCAGGCCUAAAACAUGCAAGUCGAACGCUCUAGCAAUAGAGAGUGGCGCACGGGUGCGUAACAUGUGGGAAUAUGCCUUUUGGUACGGAACAACUUUUGGAAACGAAAGCUAAUACCGUAUGGUCCCUUCGGGGUAAAGAUUUAUCGCCAAAAGAGUAGCCCGCACUGGAUUAGCUAGUUGGUGAGGUAAUGGCUCACCAAGGCGACGAUCCAUAGCUGGUCUGAGAGGACGAUCAGCCACACUGGGACUGAGACACGGCCCAGACUCCUACGGGAGGCAGCAGUUAGGAAUCUUGGACAAUGGGCGCAAGCCUGAUCCAGCCAUGCCGCGUGAGUGAUGAAGGCCUUCGGGUUGUAAAGCUCUUUAGUCCACGAAUAUAAUGACUGUAGUGGAAGAAUAAGCCCGGCUAACUUCGUGCCAGCAGCCGC